GUAAGUCCAUGGAGCGAUAGGGCUAAAACUUUUUAUCAUUAUUUUAGUUUUUUCUACAACUCAACCAUAUCUACAAAACUCAGAAACCUCUUAACGAAAACAUCAAGUUCUUUGUUGAGAGCGUUUAUUCACUGAUGUACCCAGCUGAUGUACGCUUAGUUCAAACACUAAUAGCCAAACUAUUCAGGAUCCUGAACAACAACUUUAAGCAACCCUGGAUGCCAGCAACGCAGCCUCAAACAACAUCAGAGGCAAACUAUACAUCAGUACACCCACGCUUCCCAAUGCGCUGUAGACACAGCAGAAGAGAGAAAAAAAGAUCCAAACCAUAUCACCGUAAAGCAAAACCAACAGCCGAACACCUCAGCAAAGACACCACAGGCUUUUGGAACACCUGCAGUCAACAAACCACAGAAACUUGGAACAACAGCCCAAAACCCAAUUGGUGCCCAACAUCCAAGCCAUUUGUUGACAGGAGUAAACGGAAAAACAGGAGUCGCGGCUGUGGCUACCAACCAUACAAUGUAGAUAAAAAAAAUGGGUAAAAACUUAAUUACGAUGAUAAUUUAAUAAUUUUACACUUCUAAUAUUUUAUAGAAUCAAAAUAAUCUAAAUAUAUGUAUG